rnacentral:rRNA from 1 species
CGCCUACACAUGCAAGUCGAACGCAGUAGCAAUACUGAGUGGCAGACGGGUGAGUAACAUGUGGGAAUCUGCCUUGUGGUUCAGGACAACAUUGGGAAACCGAUGCUAAUACUGGAUAAGCCCUUACGGGGAAAGUUUUAAUGCCAUAAGAUGAGCCCGCAUUUGAUUAGUUAGUUGGUGAGGUAAUGGCUCACCAAGACAAUGAUCAAUAGCUGAUCUGAGAGGAUGAUCAGCCACACUGGGACUGAGACACGGCCCAGACUCCUACGGGAGGCAGCAGUGGGGAAUCUUGCACAAUGGAGGAAACUCUGAUGCAGCGAUGCCGCGUGAGUGAAGAAGGCCUUUGGGUUGUAAAGCUCUUUUGUAGGGGAAGAUAAUGACUGUACCCUAAGAAUAAGGUCCGGCUAACUUCGUGCCAGCAGCCGCGGUAAUACGAAGGGACCUAGCGUAGUUCGGAAUUACUGGGCGUAAAGCGCGCGUAGGCCGUUGAGUUAGUUAAUUGUGAAAUCCCAAAGCUUAACUUUGGAACUGCAAUUAAAACUGCUCGACUAGAGUUUGAUAGAGGAAAGCGGAAUACAUAGUGUAGAGGUGAAAUUCGUAGAUAUUAUGUAGAACACCAGUUGCGAAGGCGGCUUUCUGGAUCAACACUGACGCUGAGGCGCGAAAGUAUGGGUAGCAAAGAGGAUUAGAUACCCUCGUAGUCCAUACCAUAAACGAUGAUUGCUAGAUG